UGGUGGAGUGAUUUGUCUGGUUAAUCCCGUUAACGAACGAGACCUUAGCCUGCUAACUAGUCGAUUCAAUUCCGAUUGGCUUCGACUUCUUAGAGGGACUUUGUGAUCAAACACAAGGAAGUUUGAGGCAAUAACA
rnacentral:rRNA from 1 species